GAUGAAGAACGUAGCGAAAUGCGAUAAGUAGUGUGAAUUGCAGAAUUCAGUGAAUCAUCGAAUCUUUGAACGCACAUUGCGCCCCUUGGUAUCCCGAGGGGCAUGCCUGUUCGAGCGUCAUUUCAACCCUCAAGCUCUGUUUGGUGUUGGGCCCUGCCCGCUGCGGCCGGCCCUAAAGACAGUGGCGGUGCCGCCUGGCCCUGAGCGUAGUACAUCUCUCGCUCCAGUGCCCGGUGGUAGCCUGCCAGAACCCCAACUCUCGUGGUUGACCUCGGAUCAGGUAGGGAUACCCGCUGAACUUAAGCAUAUCAAUAAGCGGAGGA
rnacentral:misc_RNA from 1 species